CUUGAACUAAUUUAUUACAGUAACUGCUAGCUCGUUCUAAUGCCGCAAAAGAAAACGAACAUCAAAGGCGAAAGAAACUCAAACCGACUAUCUCUGUCUGUGUCUCGACCCAAAACUAGCAAGUUAAUUAUGGCAAACACAAAGCAGCUCUUAAUCUUAUCCUUUCUAGCAGUAGCUAUACUUGUUCUUUCAACUCUUGUCCAAUCCUCAAAUGCUUCUUCUUCUUCUUUACAUGAUCGUGUUUUAUUAGCAAGACAGAGAAACGCAGCCCGUUUUCAGAUCCCGAGUUGCAGUGAGAUGGUAUCAAGAUCUCAGUGCAGCCAUAACCCAAAUUGCAAGUGGUGUAAGAGUGAGGUUCUUGAUGAUAUGUGCUUUAGUAAGGCUGAGGCUUGGAGGUUGCCUCAACAGUCACUGUGAUCAAGAAGCAAAGUUGCUUCAGGACAAUCCUGGUCGAGAUGCCCAUGCUGAACAACAGAGUUCUGGCAAGCCUCGACCAUGCAGUUUGCUAUUCCACAACAUUUUGGGAGGAAAGAGUAAAGAAUACUUCCCUCGCUAGGUUUUAUGUACGAGCUCUCCCGGUGUAAAAGUGAGACAUUGCAAGGAAUGUUAGUGAUGGUUGUACAUCCAAUCGAAUUUUUUUUUUCUGCUACUGUAUUUCUCAAUUCACUUUACCAAAAUUAGAUGAA